UAAUACUUUUAGUACAUAAUAGUAGUACUAGUACUACUACUAGUAGUACAUAAUAAUAGUACUAGUAUGUGCUAAUAGUACUAGUAUUAU
rnacentral:tRNA from 1 species